UAGGGAAUCUUCGGCAAUGGACGAAAGUCUGACCGAGCAACGCCGCGUGAGUGAAGAAGGUUUUCGGGUCGUAAAACUCUGUUGUUAGAGAAGAACAAGGACGUUAGUAACUGAACGUCCCCUGACGGUAUCUAACCAGAAAGCCAAGGCUAACUACGUGCCAGCAGCCGCGGUAAUACGUAGGUGGCAAGCGUUGUCCGGAUUUAUUGGGCGUAAAGCGAGCGCAGGCGGUUUCUUAAGUCUGAUGUGAAAGCCCCCGGCUCAACCGGGGAGGGUCAUUGGAAACUGGGAGACUUGAGUGCAGAAGAGGAGAGUGGAAUUCCAUGUGUAGCGGUGAAAUGCGUAGAUAUAUGGAGGAACACCAGUGGCGAAGGCGGCUCUCUGGUCUGUAACUGACGAUGAGGCUCGAAAGCGUGGGGAGCAAACAGG
rnacentral:rRNA from 1 species